CCGGCACCACCAUUGCCUAUGAGAAACUCCUACCUGUGGAAAGCAAGGUAUAAACAAGCUGAGAGAUUGAGAAAAAGGUCCUUAAAAAUAAGACACAAGUCUGUAUGUCAGAAGAGAAACAUGCACCGUGCCCUGCAACUCACAAUGGCAAUGACACUGUUGACAACGCCAAAACACUAAAUGAGCUUGGAGUUCUCUACUACUUGCAGAACAACUCUGAAACUGCCUAAAUGUUUCUGACCCGGUCCCUGGAGAUGAGGCAGUGAGUGCUUAGGCCGGUUCACCCGGACAGCGCUCAGUCUCUGAAUAACCUGGCAGCUAUUUACAACAAGAAGAAAGAGAAUGAGAAGGCAGAGGAGCUGUACGAGAGUGCCCUCGACAUCAGGAGAAGAGCGCUCUUGUCUGAUCACUCCUCCCUAAUGUACACCAUAAAACAACUUGCAGUGCUCUACAAGAGGAGGGUGAGGCAGCUGUGAGUGAGGGCAUAUAAAGGAUGUCAGGGGACAGAAUCAAGGGAAUAUACUGUACGUUACAUUUAUAUUUUUACAUAUAUCUAGAAAACUGAUGAGGGUCCCAGAAUCUGGGGAUAUAUUGAUAAAUCUUUUAGCCUGUCCAUCCAUUCCUGUGUAAUUUAGACCUAAUGCUUUGUGUACUGGCUUCAUACUUAGUACACAUAGGUAUUCUUUGAUUCCCAAGAUUCAUAGUUUUCGCAUAAGAAUGUCUGUACAAGCUUCUUAUGAGGCACUGCUAUGCGCUUGUGUAUUUGCUUCUGUUUCUCAGUGUGAAAUUGCGUAGCCAACCUGCUUGACACCGAGUAGAGCAUGCCAGUGUGAAAGGGGCAAUGUACAGUGGUAAUGUACAGUAAAAUAAAUUUAUGAAUUGCCACAUUAUUUUAAACCUUUGAACAUUUCAAUGACACACCUCUUUUUCACAUUCCCAUUAAUUUUUACAAACCAUUCUAUCUGAUAUGAUAAUUUGUAAUUUAUGUAUUUAUGUAAAUAUUAUUGUUGUGAUUUUUCACUAUAAUAUUUUCUUUCAGGGAAACUGGACAAGGCUGUUCCUCUGUAUAAACUGGCAGAUGAAAUUCAGCAGAAGUCUUUUGGGCCUCAACACCCAAGUGUGGCCACAGCUUUAGUAUACCUGGCUGUAUUAUACUGUCAGGUGAAAAAGCAUCAAGAAGCUCUGCCCCUGUAUGAGUGAGCUCUGAAGGUCUAUGAGGACAGCCUGGGUCGCAGUCAUCCCAGAGUGGGAGAGACGCUCAAGAAUCUACGCUCAAGAAUCUAACUGCGUUGAGGAAUGAAACUGCUAGGUGAAAUGGCAUUAUGUGGCAAAUGGGAGCCACAACCAUGCCAUCUUAUAACUGGUUACGUAGUAUAAAGGGUGUUCUUAUGAAGGGGGAGCACUAUACAGUUACGAAGGGCGAUUUUAAAAAAGCUGCUGAACUGUAUAAAAGAGCCAUGGAAAUUAAAGAGUGGUCGCUGGUUUGUGGAAAAGCUCCUUCUAGACACUCAAGUGGAGACACCAUCAGCCUAAAUGCGCUUCACCCCAAUGCACAUAAAGACAUUGGACACAGCUUAGACAUGUGGGAAGUAGCCACAGAAGACCACGGCAAACAGGAUGGUAAGAUUGGCACCUUGCGUCACACAAAGUGCUAUCAAAGCACGGUUAACAGUUAUAACCUACCUGGUUGCUCUUCAGUGUAUUUAUUUUGUAUAUUGUGUGAGAACUCAUUGUAUAUUUUCACAGAUAAACAACAAAGAAAACAAGACUCUGGUCU